UGACGUAGCCUGCUCCUAGUACGAGAGGACCGGAGUGGACGUACCUCUGGUGUACCGGUUGUCAUGCCAAUGGCAUUGCCGGGUAUCUAAGUACGGAAGAGAUAACCGCUGAAGGCAUCUAAGCGGGAAACUCGUCUGAAGAUUAGGUAUCCCGGGGACUUGAUCCACCUAAAGAGUCGUUCGAGACCAGGACGUUGAUAGGUCGGGUGUGGAAGCGCAGUAAUGCGUUAAGCUAACCGAUACUAAUUGCUCGUGAGGCUUGAUCCU
rnacentral:ncRNA from 1 species